rnacentral:rRNA from 1 species
AUACGGAGGAUCCGAGCGUUAUCCGGAUUUAUUGGGUUUAAAGGGUGCGCAGGCGGGAGAUUAAGUCGGCGGUGAAAUUUUGCAGCUCAACUUUAAAAAUGCCUUCGAAACUGGGUUCCUUGAGUGUAGAUGAAGUAGGCGGAAUUUGUGGUGUAGCGGUGAAAUGCAUAGAUAUCACGAGGAACUCCGAUUGCGCAGGCAGCUUACUAAACUACUACUGACGCUCAGGCACGAAGGCGUGGGGAUCAAACAGGAUUAGAUACCCUGGUAGUCCACGCAGUAAACGAUGAUUACUAGCUGUUUGCGAUACAAUGUAAGCGGCUGAGCGAAAGCGUUAAGUAAUCCACCUGGGGAGUACGUUCGCAAGAAUGAAACUCAAAUGAAUUGGCGGGG